AGUGAACGCUGGCGGUGGGCCUAACACAUGCAAGUCGAACGGCAGCACAGUAAGAGUGUGCUUUUGAGGGUGGCGAGUGGCGGGUGGGUGAGGAGUAAAUCGGAAUCUACUUUUUCGUGGGGGAUUACGGAGGGCAACUUAUGCUACUAGAGCAUAUGUGCUACCGGUGAAAGCAGGGGAUCUUCGGAGUUUUGGUGAUUGUAUGAGACGGUGUCGGGUUAGCUAGUUGGCGGGGUAAAGGCCCACCAAGGCGACGAUCCGUAGCUGAUCUGAAAGGAUGAUCGGCCACACUGGAACUGAGACACGGUCCAGACUCCUACGGGAGGCAGCAGUGGGGAAUAUUGGACAAUGGGCGCAAGCCUGAUCCAGCCAUACCGCGUGGGUGAAGAAGGCUUUCGGGUUGUAAAGCCCUUUUAUUAGGAAAGAAAAGAUGCAGGUUAAAACCCCGCUGUUCUGACGGUACCCAAAGAAUAAGCACCGGCUAACUACGUG
rnacentral:rRNA from 1 species